rnacentral:lncRNA from 1 species
AUAAAGUGAAGGCAGGAGUAGAUCUUCUUAAUGCACAGAAGGUCAGCUCUUUGAAAUCCAUCAACCACAAGUGAAAAGAGUUUAAAUCACCUGUGACACGUUAUAACCCUUUGAGGCUGGAUUAAAGGCUUGUCGUGAAACUGCGAGGAAGCUGCGAAAGAAAGGGGAAUAAAUUCUAGAGUCAGAAUUACCAGGAGAAGGACAAUGUUCUAGCGACAGGGGCCUUGAUGAGCAACGUUCUCCAAGGGCUGACCUCAUUACUGCUCAUUCUGGUGGAUGGGUGUCCCUGUGCUUGUGGAAGGCAGUCCUAAUCGCUUCAUAUUGCUUUUGUUGUGGUUGCAAUAUAGUCUCAGUUAACUGCUGGAGUCUUAGGAACUGGAUGGAGAAAGAACAGACCAUCCGCGGAAGAGCCUCACAGCAGGCUGGCUCCACAGCAGGUCAAUGAGCCAGCACUGUGGACUGCUUCCCGGGGAGCCCAUGGUGGUUGGGGCUCCUUAGGAAUCUGGCUUAUGUAGCAACCUCUUUCUCCUGAAUAAGUCCUUCUUCCUGUCACCACUGCUUUUUUAUUCAUUUGUUUAAAUCCCAAGACUGUCUGUUAUGCCCAAAUAUUGAAUCAGGCUUCUGUUUGCAGCAAGAACUAUUAAUAGUUUUAGAUGUGAAUUUGGCUUUUGUUGAAGAAUAUUAUUUUCAGUAAUUGUCAGUUCAUUAGAAUAUAAGUAAGGCUUGGAAUUUUGCUGAAAAAAGUAUGAUACUUGAAUUAAAAUAAAUAUAAACAAAGAACUUCAAUAUUUUGAUUUAUUUAUAGACUACAGUAUUUGUAUAUUGAAAGCCAAAAAUAAUAAUAAAAAAAAGCUAUAAGAAAGCAGAACUACUAUAAAGAAUUAUUUGACUUUUCACUUGGGCAUCUUUGCUUUGCUUACGAAAUAACUAAAGUACAUUGGUACAUAUGCUGUUAGUACAUAACGUGCUGAGGGUCUUAGAAAUGGACCCCGUGUUCGUAAGCUUAUUGUUGAUUUUUUUGUUCAACUUUAUUUUCUGUCUGUUUGAAUAUAAAUUCAACCAAGAGACCUUCCCUUUCCUCCCAGCCUUAAAGCAUUUUCUCU